rnacentral:rRNA from 1 species
UCGGAUUGUAGUCUGCAACCCGACUACAUGAAGCCGGAAUCGCUAGUAAUCGCGGAUCAGAAUGCCGCGGUGAAUACGUUCCCGGGUCUUGUACACACCGCCCGUCACAUCAUGGGAGUCGGAAAUGCCCGAAGUCUGUGACCCAACCGCAAGGAGGGAGCAGCCGAAGGCAGGUCGGAUGACUGGGGUGAAGUCGUAACAAGGUAAC